UACGGAGGGAGCUAGCGUUGUUCGGAAUUACUGGGCGUAAAGCGCACGUAGGCGGCUUUGUAAGUUAGAGGUGAAAGCCCGGGGCUCAACCCCGGAAUUGCCUUUAAGACUGCAUCGCUUGAAUCCAGGAGAGGUGAGUGGAAUUCCGAGUGUGGAGGUGAAAUUCGUAGAUAUUCGGAAGAACACCAGUGGCGUAGGCGGCUCACUGGACUGGUAUUGACGCUGAGGUGCGAAAGCGAGGGGAGCAGACAGG
rnacentral:rRNA from 1 species